rnacentral:sRNA from 1 species
CUGCAACACUUAAUUAUGUGCACUGUGCUAAGAGCAGGACACAUCUAAUUUAAUCCUCAACCCAUUUUGAGGAGGAAACAGAGGCUCAGAGAGAUGAAAUCAUUUGCUUAAGCCACACAGCUAGUAGAGUAGCUGACAUUCAGACCCAGAAGCCUCCUGCCACCCCAAAUCCCAUGCUCUUAAUCACAGUAUGUGGACAUCUGUCUGGUAGGCCCCCCAGGUCAGAUGGGGAUCUUGCACUAAAGCAUUCAUUUCUCCUUCAGCCCUGAGAGCCCAUAAGGCCAAUGGAGGAGAAAUAGGCCUCUCCUGAGUCCUGUCUUCAGUAAGCCUCUCAAUUUGAGGGGGUUGUCUCAGACUGAAAGCUCCACCUAAGCAGGCGGGAGAAAGACCCAACCAGGGCAUGGGUAGCAGGGCUGGCCACUUGGAGGAAAUGUCCUUGGCCCAGGCCUUCUGCAGAACCCUUCACACCCGCCACUGGGCUCCUUUUUCCACAGCGGCCAAGAAGGCAGUGUGGCUGGAGAAGGAGGAGAAGGCCAAGGCGCUGCGGGAGAAGCAGCUCCAGGAGCGCCGGCGCCGGCUGGAGGAGCAACGUCUUAAAGCCGAGCAACGCCGUGCAGCCCUGGAGGAACGUCAGCGGCAGAAGCUCGAGAAAAACAAGGAGCGCUAUGAGGCAGCCAUCCAACGGUCAGUGAAGAAGACGUGGGCCGAAAUCCGGCAGCAGCGCUGGUCCUGGGCAGGGGCCCUGCACCACAGCUCUCCAGGACAUAAGACCAG